AAAUUAAAUUUUUCGACCAUUACGGAUUUUACCUGGUCUGAAGUUGGAGUGUAUUAUUUGACCAUUUUUUGGACAGGUGCGGGAGCUGCCGGCCAUUUGCCCUAGCAGGCGGAGAGAGGUCGUGGAGUGUCAGCCUAUGGUAUCUGAGGUCCAGGAGAGAUGACCUGCGCUGUUUUCCUCUGAGGAG